GAAAAGUCAUCAUCGUCCUUUUAAUUUUUUUUUUUUUUUAAUCUGCUUUCUCGGGAAUCAAAAAGAGUGUGGUGGAACAGGAAAUAGGCGUGAAUUUCUGACUGACCUAG